rnacentral:rRNA from 1 species
UACGUAGGUGGCGAGCGUUGUCCGGAUUUACUGGGCGUAAAGCGCGCGCAGGCGGCGCGUCAAGUCUGGUGUGAAAGCCUCCGGCUCACCCGGAGGAGGCCACUGGAGACUGACGUGCUUGGAGAGAGGUAGGGGCCGGUGGAAUUCCCGGUGUAGUGGUGAAAUGCGUAGAUAUCGGGAGGAACACCAGUGGCGAAAGCGGCCGGCUGGGCCUUUUCUGACGCUGAGGCGCGAAAGCGUGGGGAGCGAACCGG